CUUCUUAUUCUCAAGUUUGCAAUUCACUAUUCCUACAAAACCUCCAAUCAGCUUUCGCCAUCUGGCUUUCUUUCCUUUAGUUUUCAUUUUUUUCCAAUGGCCUCUGGGAUACGACUAACCAUUCAUCAUCCCCAUCUCAAUCGCGUGUUGCCUCUGCUCUCCACCCACUCCGUCGUACGCUAGCUAGCAAUCGCGUGUUGCCUCUCCCUCUUCACCCACUCCGUUGUACCCUUCGUCAUCUUCUUUUUCAUUGAUUUCUCUUCUGAAAUCAACCCUAGCUAGCUUUCCACUUCUCCAAAUCCAUCCAAACCCUAGAUGUGUUUCCGUGUUUAAGUUGCUCUUUCCAUCCACUUCUCACCAAUCCAUCAACUUCGUCUUUUCGAUUGAUCUGAUGUCGCCUUUGUCUUCGUCGCCGGUUGCUGUUCAUCCGCCAUUCCCUCUUCUCAGUUGCCGAACUUUUUGGGUUGAAUGCAUCUUCGAAGGUUGAUUUUGUGAUCAAAUGAUUCCAUUCAAAGCUUAUGUCCUGUAAGAGAAGCAUAAAAGAUCAGAGCAAGGGUGAUCAGAAAGGGAGCUCCAUAGUUGGCAAUUGUGAUCUUGAAUUUGCUGAAGGACUGUUUGUCGGCGGUAAAUUAUGGCCACUCCUAAACAUAUUAGUGAACUGAUACAUGUGGAAGGCAUGUCAAUGUAUGAAUUCAAAAGCCACUUGCAAGGGGAAAUAUCUGAUAAAGACCAUGAAUGAGUUAGAGUUCUUAUGACUCUUAAAGUUGAAAGGCUUAAAGUUUCACAUUGGAGAACUCAACGAUCAUACCUCAUUGCUUAAAAGGUCUCUGUUGGUAGAGGGAGGAAUAUGACAAGGUGUAUCUAUGGAGAAUAGGAGCUCGAGUCUGUUGGGCUUAUAAAUGAAGGGAAGAUGCAUUAAAUUGUGACGGCACAAGAAUGAGGAGAAGGUGAGCCAUCAAAAUUGUGAUAGGGAAGGGACAUAUCAAUUAUGCUUGAGUUUAAGUUCUUCAAUUAUGACGGCACAAGAAUGAAGUUUUUUGAUUAGGGAGGCACUCAUUCUCAAUUUCUCACUCUUAACAUAAAUUCUGGUUCCAAAUUUUGUCUGUCUUUCCUCCAAAAUCAAUCAUCUUGAUCCUUAGAUGUAAAAUCAAGACUCUUAUGUCAUGUAUAAUAUGUAAUUUGUUCA